ACUGAUACUAUACAAAACCUUUAAUCAGAACCAUCACUUAAAUUAUCACUGAAUCGAUAAAGAAUUACAUGGUUUGAAGCAUUUGGCAAUGGCCAAAACAAUUCUGAAUUGUCAACUGAUAUGCAAAAUAUUAAACACACACAUCAUGGAAGGAAAUGCAAUCUCUCCAGAAGUCUUGUUGAUAUGAUAUGGUCGGAUUUCAAUAGCGAGAAGAACGCCUGCAUCAUGUUAGAUUCAUUAGAUGAAUAAGAACUCAGAGUAUUAACAACUAAUAAGCCACCGUUAAGAAAUACAAGACAAUUGAGAUAGAAGAACAUACCAUUCAUCUUAGCACACGAAAAAAUGAUCAAAUUGCAUCUAUUAACUAAUAUUCAGAAUUUUGAAUGAAUUUAGACAAUCAAUCU
rnacentral:lncRNA from 1 species